UAUCCUUCUCUGCCUUUUGGCUAAGAUCAAGUGUAGAAUCUGUUCUUAUCAGUUUACUAUCUGAUGUAUCUUCUCUCCGAGUCCAAUAUAUUAUAUGGAUUUUUGAAGCAGGAAGACGGACUAGGAGCUUGCUUGUCCACUUCAUGCAUGGACCUGGUAUUACAGUACAGAACCCCUCAGGGGAUUCAAAUUUG
ensembl:snRNA U2 U2 spliceosomal RNA